GCUGCUACUACUACUACUACCAAGUUAGUAUCAUCAUUAUCAUCAUGUUAGAUAUUAAGUCAGAUAAAAUUUAAUACAUGCAUGUAGUAGGGAGUUCAUUUGCUAACUAUGCCUUGGAUGUUAAUUAGUAUCUCGAUCUGUUAUUUCACUAAUUUAAGAUAAAUAGACUUAACUACCGUAGGGCAAAGCUGUUCCCUACCUACGGGUCAUCCAUCUACCAACAGUUACCGACGGGCUGAGUCUGCCUUCAUGUCUGAUUUCAGUGUCAAACGUCUACUUGGACACUAAUACAAUCUGACACCAAUGCAAUAAACGUAUGAGCGAUUUCUAUGUUAUAUGACAUAGCAAUAGUUAUUAGCAUUACCCAUAGAAUACACCCUUUCAGCUGUUUAAUGAGACAAUUGUUAGGUACGUACUUGAUUUCCGUUUAUGGCCCAAGCACAUAAUAUAAACGCAAUGGUAAUCGGUGUUGUGUGUUAAGCAGGCGAGGCAAUUUUUACAUGUGUAGAUCAGUUGAAACUCAUAUUCUUAGUGAAGGAGAAUGAACUACAAAACAAGCUGUAAUUAAUAUUCGUUCUUGCUAUAGUCUGUCUGUUCUGAAGUAGCUCCUGGGUCUCUGUCUGAAUGGCGUUCCAGGAAUGCGCGGUCGUCAGAUUUUGAGGAAAACCGUGAGCUGUCCUUGUGUAAUAAGUGCGCUGAUCAACAGAAAACAAGUAUUAUUCACAUCAAAUCAAUUACGUUAUCAAUAAGCUACAAUAUGUUUGAAAUCCAGGAACAAUUUUUAGAGUAGACAGACUAUAAUUCCGAAAUAAUUUAUGGUUCUUAAUGCCUCAAUCCUCAAUACCACAAUCAAGUGCAUAAUUAACCCUCAAAAUGACCCGAAUGUGAUACCCUGGGCCCUGAAUUACAUGUCUUUAUAAAGUUAUCCUGGCCCUGGGGAGUGCCUGACCACCGCCUCGACAACCCAGACAAAGCAAUGAAUGACGUGGCUGCGUUUUGUCGUAAUUCUUGUGACCCUUUUAGCUUAUCGCUCAUGGGUCCUGUAUGUAUUUUUUUUUUUUUUUUUAACACUUUACCUGGUAAAAGAAAUCAGGUUAGAAGAGAAAAUAGCCUUACAAGCUACGGUAACAACUAUGGUAGCACUUCAUUACAUUGUUCUGGUGGUAGUGAUUACUGUCUCGACCUUGGCCUCGGUGUCUCGGAUCAAAGGUGAACCUGAAGUCGAUGAAGUCAAGCAGAGGCCGCGUCCCAUCACUCCACCUUCAUCCUCUGUCUGGCUUGUGAACGUGAAGUGAACCGUAUGCGAGUGACGGUGCGAGAUGAAUGUGAUUGCAUCUGCGUCUGGAAACCUGUCACAUGGCUGUGGUCGUGAGUCAGAUGAUUUCCACGUAGCUAAAAGGAAUUCUUUUUAUAUAAGAGCUGAAAUCUGGCCAAGAGCAAGGAUGUGGAGUUAGCUGUGGCAACAGGUCUGCUGUGAGUAAGGGUACUGGAGCAGCAGGGGACAGCUUUGAAGUGUGCCUUGUGAGAGUCUACAUGGCUCUGCACAGUGAUUUGUGGCCAGAUAAAUGGUAGGGGCCAGCAGCAGUACUUUUACCGCUGACAUUACUGCCCACUGUAAAGAGGAGCAGCAGCAGCAGCAGCAACAGCAGCAACAGCACUUUUGCCGCCGCCGCUGCCAUUGCUGCCU